UACAGAGGGUGCGAGCGUUAAUCGGAAUUACUGGGCGUAAAGCGUGCGUAGACGGUUACAUAAGUCGGGUGUGAAAGCCCCGGGCCCAACCUGGGAAUUGCAUUCGAGACUGCGUAGCUAGGGUGCGGAAGAGGGAAGCGGGAAUUUCCGGUGUAGCGGUGAAAUGCGUAGAUAUCGGAAGGAACACCAGUGGCGAAAGCGGCUUCCUGGUCCAGCACCGACGUUC
rnacentral:rRNA from 1 species